rnacentral:sRNA from 1 species
AAAUGUGGAUCUGAGAGAAUACUUGUCUGAAGAAGUACAAGCAGUACACAAGAAUACCACCUAUGACCUCAUUGCCAACAUCGUGCAUGACGGCAAGCCCUCCGAGGGCUCCUACCGGAUCCACGUGCUUCAUCAUUUAAUUGAGAUGGGGUUGUGCUAUGAUGCUCAUGCUGGUCUCAAGCAAUCCUCCCGCCUCAGCUUCUGAAACUGCUGGGAUUACAGGGGACAGGCAAAUGGUAUGAAUUACAAGACCUCCAGGUGACUGACAUCCUUCCCCAGAUGAUCACACUGUCAGAGGCUUACAUUCAGAUUUGGAAGAGGCGAGAUAAUGAUGAAACCAACCAGCAGGGGGCUUGAAGGAGGCGUCUAGGGCUUUGCUCCCAAGGGCUGUGGCUGAUGAUGGUAAAUAAGAACACAGAAGCUGUAGCUGAACACAGGCUGGCUGGUGGGCUCCCUAGGCCAGCCCAGCUUGUAUGGGUUCUGGCUACACCAGAGCACCAAGAGCCCACUUGCCUGGGAUGGCCCCACACUGUCACUCAGCUGUUCUUUGAUCAUUUUUUUCUAGAUUGAUGCUCCUUUCUCUCAUGCAUCGAGCUCCCAUCUAGCUUCAGCAGGGCAGAACCCUUCUCCAGAUGUGUGUAACUUAUGUCUGAGUAUCU